rnacentral:rRNA from 1 species
GACGAACGCUGGCGGCGUGCUUAACACAUGCAAGUCGAACGGAAAGGCCUUUUCGGAGGUACUCGAGUGGCGAACGGGUGAGUAACACGUGGGUGAUCUGCCCUGCACUCUGGGAUAAGCCUGGGAAACUGGGUCUAAUACCGGAUAGGACCGCACUUUAGUGUGUGUGGUGGAAAGUUUUUUCGGUGUAGGAUGAGCCCGCGGCCUAUCAGCUUGUUGGUGGGGUAAUGGCCUACCAAGGCGGCGACGGGUAGCCGGACUGAGAGGUUGGUCGGCCACACUGGGACUGAGAUACGGCCCAGACUCCGACGGGAGGCAGCAGUGGGGAAUAUUGCACAAUGGGCGCAAGCCUGAUGCAGCGACGCCGCGUGGGGGAUGACGGCCUUCGGGUUGUAAACUCCUUUCGCCAGGGACGAAGCGUUUUGUGACGGUACCUGGAGAAGAAGCACCGGCUAACUACGUG